rnacentral:rRNA from 1 species
GACGAACGCUGGCGGCGUGCCUAAUACAUGCAAGUCGAGCGAAUGGAUUAAGAGCUUGCUCUUAUGAAGUUAGCGGCGGACGGGUGAGUAACACGUGGGUAACCUGCCCAUAAGACUGGGAUAACUCCGGGAAACCGGGGCUAAUACCGGAUAACAUUUUGAACCGCAUGGUUCGAAAUUGAAAGGCGGCUUCGGCUGUCACUUAUGGAUGGUCCCGCGUCGCAUUAGCUAGUUGGUGAGGUAACGGCUCACCAAGGCAACGAUGCGUAGCCGACCUGAGAGGGUGAUCGGCCACACUGGGACUGAGACACGGCCCAGACUCCUACGGGAGGCAGCAGUAGGGAAUCUUCCGCAAUGGACGAAAGUCUGACGGAGCAACGCCGCGUGAGUGAUGAAGGCUUUCGGGUCGUAAAACUCUGUUGUUAGGGAAGAACAAGUGCUAGUUGAAUAAGCUGGCACCUUGACGGUACCUAACCAGAAAGCCACGGCUAACUACGUGCCAGCCGCCGCCGUAA